UCACUUUAACACUGAGGCGUGAUGACGAGGCACUACGGUGCUGAAGCAACAAAUGCCCUGCUUCCAGGAAAAGCCUCUAAGCAUCAGGUAACAUCAAAUCGUACCCCAAACCGACACAGGUGGUCAGGUAGAGAAUACCAAGGCGCUUGAGAGAACUCGGGUGAAGGAACUAGGCAAAAUGGUGCCGUAACUUCGGGAGAAGGCACGCUGACACGUAGGUGAAGUGAUUUACUCAUGGAGCUGAAGUCAGUCGAAGAUACCAGCUGGCUGCAACUGUUUAUUAAAAACACAGCACUGUGCAAACACGAAAGUGGACGUAUACGGUGUGACGCCUGCCCGGUGCCGGAAGGUUAAUUGAUGGGGUCAGCGCAAGCGAAGCUCCUGAUCGAAGCCCCGGUAAACGGCGGCCGUAACUAUAACGGUCCUAAGGUAGCGAAAUUCCUUGUCGGGUAAGUUCCGACCUGCACGAAUGGCGUAAUGAUGGCCAGGCUGUCUCCACCCGAGACUCAGUGAAAUUGAACUCGCUGUGAAGAUGCAGUGUACCCGCGGCAAGACGGAAAGACCCCGUGAACCUUUACUAUAGCUUGACACUGAACAUUGAGCCUUGAUGUGUAGGAUAGGUGGGAGGCUUUGAAGUGUGGACGCCAGUCUGCAUGGAGCCGGCCUUGAAAUACCACCCUUUAAUGUUUGAUGUUCUAACGUGGACCCGUGAUCCGGGUUGCGGACAGUGUCUGGUGGGUAGUUUGACUGGGGCGGUCUCCUCCUAAAGAGUAACGGAGGAGCACGAAGGUUGGCUAAUCCUGGUCGGACAUCAGGAGGUUAGUGCAAUGGCAUAAGCCAGCUUGACUGCGAGCGUGACGGCGCGAGCAGGUGCGAAAGCAGGUCAUAGUGAUCCGGUGGUUCUGAAUGGAAGGGCCAUCGCUCAACGGAUAAAAGGUACUCCGGGGAUAACAGGCUGAUACCGCCCAAGAGUUCAUAUCGACGGCGGUGUUUGGCACCUCGAUGUCGGCUCAUCACAUCCUGGGGCUGAAGUAGGUCCCAAGGGUAUGGCUGUUCGCCAUUUAAAGUGGUACGCGAGCUGGGUUUAGAACGUCGUGAGACAGUUCGGUCCCUAUCUGCCGUGGGCGCUGGAGAACUGAGGGGGGCUGCUCCUAGUACGAGAGGACCGGAGUGGACGCAUCACUGGUGUUCGGGUUGUCAUGCCAAUGGCACUGCCCGGUAGCUAAAUGCGGAAGAGAUAAGUGCUGAAAGCAUCUAAGCACGAAACUUGCCCCGAGAUGAGUUCUCCCUGAGACUUUAGGUCUCCUGAAGGAACGUUGAAGACGACGACGUUGAUAGGCCGGGUGUGUAAGCGCAGCGAUGCGUUGAGCUAACCGGUACUAAUGAACCGUGAGGCUUAACCUUACA
rnacentral:rRNA from 1 species